CUUCUUUUCAAAAGACACUUUUAAGAAACUGACAUUUCUAGCUACAAACUGAGAGAAAAUGUUUGCCAAACAUAUCUAGUAAAGUACCUGUAUCCAGAAUUCCAGAAUGUAUGAAGUGAUCUUACAACUCAAGAAUAUUCCCAGGCCGGGCGCAGUGGCUCAUGCCUGUAAUCCCAGCACUUUGGGAGGCCAAGGCGAACGAAUCACUUGAGGCCAGGAGCUCAAGACCAGCCUGGCCAACAUGGCAAAACUCUACUAAAAAUAGAAUUAGCCGGGCUGGUGGCACAUGCAUGUAAUCCCAGCUACUUGGGAGGCUGAGGCAUGAGAAUCCCUUAUAUCUGGGAGGCAGAGGUUGCAGUGAGCUAAGAUCAUAUCACUGUACUCCAGCCUGGAUGACCGAGCAAGACUUUGUCUCAAAAAAAUUAAUUAACAAUAAUAAAAGAAUAUUCCCAAUUAAGAACCAAAAGAUUUAAAAAGACACUUCACAAAAAAAGAUGUAGAAAUGAAUGUCCAAUAAGCACAUGAAAAGAUAUUCAACAUUGUUAGUCAUUAGGAAAAUGCAAAUAAAAACCAUGAGUAAAGUUAAACAUACACUUAUACCAUCCGGUCAUUCCACAUCUUUGUACUUGCCCAAGAUAAAUAAAAGCAAAUGUCCACAUGAAAAUGUUCAUAGCAGGCUGUUUUGUAAUACUCCGAACUAAAAAUAACCCAGGUGUCCACCAACAGGUGAAUGGAUAAGCAAAAUGCAGCAUAUCCAUACAAUAAAAAGAUAUGAACUACUAAUACACAGUGACAUGGAUGAAUUUCAAAAUCAUUACGGUAACUGGAGAAGCCAGACACAGAACAUACUGUAUGAAUUCCACUUAUAUAAAAUUCUCUAAAAUGAAAACUAAUCUAUUGUUAAAGAAAAAAGUGGGUAUGGACAUUGAAGGAGGGUUAGAUUGCAUGCAGGCAUAAGGAAACUUUGGGAGAUGAUGGAAAUAUUUUUAUUUUAUGAUCCAGGAUCUAUGUAUAAGACAUGCAGAUUUAUUACAUAGGUAAACGUGUGACAUGAUGGUGUGCUCCAUCUAUCAACCCAUCACCUAGGUAUUAAGCCUCAUAUGCAUUAGCUAUUUAUCCGGAUGCUGUCCCUUCCCCCAUACCAUCCCUGCAACAGGCCCCAGUGUGUGUAGUUCCC
rnacentral:lncRNA from 10 species